GGGCCAAUAGCUCAGGCGGUAGAGCUGCGGACUUUUAAUCCGUCGGUCGAGGGUUCGAGUCCCUCUUGGCCCACC
rnacentral:tRNA from 1 species